CUACUUACCUAGCAGGGAAGAUGCCCUGAUCUCCAAGGAGGUUUUUCCAGAGCGAGGCUUACCCAUUGCAGUCCGGCGGUGCUGACACCUGCAAUUUCUUCAAACGUGGGGAACUCGAUUGCAUAAUGUGUGGUGGUGCAGGACUGCCGUUCUCUCUCCAGCAAACUCACCCUUGUC
ensembl:snRNA U1 U1 spliceosomal RNA